GGACCAGCAGUUGGCCUCUCUCCUCCAGGCAUUGGGCUCCACCCUGUCACUGGGAGGAGAGUUACCCAGGAAAACCUGCAGGUCUGUGGGGAGAGUCCUGGGUCUCUGUGCCUCCAGAUUGGACCUCACUCUCACCCCCAGCAAGAUCUCUCUCCAAGGAGCCGCACUUCUUUUGAGACAUGAGUCAAAGCUCCACAAGCUCAGGCUGAAUGUGGGUGUGGCAGUGAAACUGUCCAGACUGGUUAGGAGGACAGGGAGAGGUGCUACUCCACUGACUGUCCCAGAGCUCUCCCUGGUCCUACAGAGCAGCCAGCCACCAGAGAGAGUGUUAU
ensembl:lncRNA